GGGCGGUUAGCUCAGUUGGUUAGAGCGCCAGUAUGACACGCUGGAGGCCACAAGUUCGAUUCUUGUAUCGCCCA
rnacentral:tRNA from 4 species